AUCUUCUAAAACGACGUCGAUUUUAAAUAUUCGUUUAUUGAAAACGAUGCCGUUUAUAACGAUUUCUUUGAGUUCCACAUUCUCUCUCGCGAGGGCAUAGCACUGCGAAGUAGCACUGUAGUCUGCUGCUUCUGGACUCGAUUCUCUGAUGAGGUGGAUCUGUUAAACUGAGAAGGGUAGUGAAAAAGAGUCGAAUUUUAAGAGCUGGAGUAUACCUGUAAGCAGAAUUGGUUGUCAGAGGUUGAGAGAAAUGGUAGGCCAAGAGGAAGUAAAGCAUCUUGAGGAUUGCACGGUAUCCAAUGCUUUGGGCACUUGGGUAUUCUCAGUGGCAGGGGCUUUGCUAGCUAUUCCAGUGGGGAUAAAACGUAAAUCUUUCGGACCUCUUGUGUUUUUUGGCACCACUGGUACAAUGCUUGAUAUUAUUAUUGGAAUCAGUCAAUGUGAAAGAGAGCAUGCUGAACGUCAAAUGAAGCUAUUAGAAUCCCAAAGUUCAGAGGGCGAUGCAGCUUUUGUUGCAACGGAAUCUGAGUCUUGAUUUAACGAAUAUACCAUUUGCGGUAAUGUUUUGAUGUUUUCAUUCUCUUCAACCCUGGUGAGUGUAAGGGCUAGUUUCUUUGGAAUAGCUAUUUGCUGGAUUAGUAGUGCUAUUGAUUUCCUUUAUUUUCUGUUCUUCAUGCUGAACCGCUACGACAAUAUCAUUCCGAACUUGCUUAUGACGUGGACUCAAGUCAUUAAAGCAUAAACUUAGCUUUGCUAAUAAAAGUUCCAAUUUGUGAUUAAUAUUCA